ACAAAAGUAAAAAAUAGAAACUUCGCAGCAAUUAAUUAAUAAUGUCGCCUGACAACCCAACACAAAUCUUGACUACUCAUGAUUUGAGCAAUUUACGUUCUCUUCCAAGUGUGACAACAGCAUCAAUUGCAGCAGCAACAGCAGUAGCAACAACGCCAAUAACCUUUGGCAGCAAUCCGAAUCAAAAUCAAAAUAACCACAAUAAUGUUGUAUUAUCAACAAUACCAUUAUUUAUACAACAAUCACCAUUAGUAUCGACAUCAGCUACAACCUUAGCUAACAACAAUAACAACAACAACAAUCAACAGCAAAGAACUAUAUCAACAAAUGGUUUACGUACAAAUACUAAUAUAAAUAAUUUAUUAGCAGCAGCAGGAACAAAAGCAACAAUUGUAAGCACGAAUAAUAAUCACAGUAGCAGCACUAUUAAGAACGGCAACAAUAUGCCAACAACUUCGAAAUAUGUUUUCUUGCAACAAAAUGGCAAUGGACAAUUUACCACCUUUGAAGGCACUACAACCACCGUAAAUAAUAGCAACAAUACAAGAAGCAACAACAAUAAUGUUGUAAGUAACAAUAAUGUUGGAAAUAUUGUAUUGCUUGCAACUGAACCAAUGGAAUUAACAGGCGGUAGUCAUACAGAACAGCAACAUAUUAUCACAACAAGUAGUGGUGAUAAUGAUGAAGAACUACGUCCACUUGCUUGGCUAAAUGAUACAAAUUUAAUAAAAGGCAUUGUUGCAACAUCAGCAACAAAUAUUAUAGGAGGCGCACAGCAAAGCAAUUCCGUUAAUAAUAAACGAACCUUAGGUAGUAACAUUUGCAUUGUUAACGCCAGCAACGCGCAUGAUCUUAUUGAAGAAUUACCACAGCAUGUUGCUAGUGAAGAACAAGUUGCUACCACUACAUCAACGGGAAAUAACCAAAAUGAUUUAUCAGAAACUCAAAUAACAACACUUAGUGUAAGCGAUUUUCAACAACAAUUUAUUGCAAGUAACAAACGUUUCGGUUUAACAUGUUUGCCACUUUCACAACAAGAAACAAUCAGUGGUGCAGCACCAAACGCUGUUACAAUUAAGAGGGAGCAACAAAGUCUUUAUAAUAAUAUACCAGCAAUUGAUGCUACAACAACUGUGCAUGUGGGACCAAGUGGCACCACAACUCUAGUGGAGUAUAAAUCAAAUGCAAGCUUUAUGCCAGCUCAGCGACAGCUGCUUAGCAACAAUGUUGGAAAUAAUAUUGUAAACAAUGCCACAACAAUAACUGCAACUAAUUUAAGCAUUACCAACAAUAACAACACCACUACCAACUCUAAUAACUAUGUGCCUUCUUCGUCUAAUUCAACAACAACUUCUUCCAAUACAAGUCACAGUCCUGCUACAUCUUCUUUGCAAACAAACAAAACUGUAACGCUUCCAAAUAGCAUUCUUACAGCAAAUACCUCCGCAACCAAUGCUAAUAGUAACAUAGUUGCUAAUAGUAACAAUACCACUAACACAGUUUAUCAAGGACAGAAACAACAUAGUAACGGUACAACAAGUACAAGCACUACACAUCACCCGCACAAAAAAUAUUUACGCGAGAAAAUGAACGUUUUGGAUCACGGUGGUGGUGGUGGCAGUACUGGAACAGGAUUACCCUCCGCAAAUGGUGGGAUUUCAACAAUAACUGUUUCUUCACCUGCAUCGUCGAACAACUCAAUGUCAUCAUCUGCGUCCUCAACUCCUUCCUCAACUGCAGCUGUUAAUGGCGAUAAUAGUCCAAUAUCAAAAUCCUUCUUCUCUUUGGGCAAUAUUGGUAUUGCCGCAAUGGGAAAUCAUUUCUCAAAUUCAUCGUCUCACUCGGUAGCAGCAUCAUCGCCAGCAUCUUCAGAUGUUGCUAGUGUCAAAAGCAAUGUUUUUACUUCAAACAAAGCUACAUCGUUUACAAUAGUGAAUCCAGCUCAACACAUUGUUACUUCAGCCAUGUCUUCGCCAGAACCGCCAAAUUCUAAAGACUUCUUUACUCUCGUGACUCCACAACAUCACCAGCAGCAGCAGCAGCAACAGCAACAAGCAAUGCGUAGUCCCACAUCUUAUUCUAGUUAUGAUAAUGAUUCUCUUAAAGAUUUUGAAAUAUGUACAUCUUCUCCGGCUUCUAGUGGAGCGCGUCUUACAACAAGCACACCCCAACAAAGUCAUAACAAUAGCCAACAGCACAGCACGCCAAAGACAACAGCUCAUAACAAUAAUUCAACUACACCUCAAAAGCAAAAGCAUCCAAAUAAUGUGCCAUAUGAUCCUCAAGUACAUACACACAACAAACCGCCAUAUAGUUUCAGUUCCUUAAUAUUUAUGGCUAUUGAAGGUUCCAAUGAAAAAGCUUUACCAGUCAAAGAAAUUUAUGCAUGGAUUGUGCAACAUUUUCCUUAUUUUAAAACUGCACCAACAGGUUGGAAGAAUAGUGUACGGCACAAUUUAUCAUUAAACAAAAGUUUUGUUAAAGUUGAAAAGGCACCUAAUAUGGGUAAAGGUUCUCUUUGGCGUGUAGAACAGCAACAACGUCAAAAUCUAAUACAAGCAUUAACGCGUUCUCCCUUCUUUCCGAAUUCAGCUGUUGAUAAAAUUGCACUUAAAAGUCCAAGCAGUGGUAUUGGUAUAAAUAAUACAAACUCCAAUGACUACGAUCCUGUUGAAGAGAAAUCUUCAAAUGCGCACAUAAAUCCACGUUUUGAUCCACGUCUAUUUCCUAAUCUAUCUAAAGCUUUUAAAGACAUGAGUGAGCAUAACGUUUUAAAUGAUGUUGUUUCCGAUGUACCCGAUGAUGAUAUUCCGUCCGAUUACAGUACAACCAAUAAUCCCAAUUUAAAUUCUAAGAACAGUUACAAUUACACAACUAGUUUACAAAAUGGCGGAAGUUCAAUAAUAGGCGGAUUUAGCAACUUUGAAAAUAUUGAACGCUUAGCACGUGAAUGCGGUGCAGAUAGUAUCGAUGACGUAAAUGCUGCCACUGCAAUGUUGGCUCUAAAACAUGGACCAAAAGUUUUUUCUGAAACAUUUCAAAAUGGAGCUCCUGUUAUAACGUCAUCACCAAGUGAAGAUCACACUUAUUCAGCUGGUGGCAGCGGUGCCUCAACUCCGCUUACUAAUGGUAACACACAGUCUGUUAUGAAUGGAAAUACCGUUCGUCAAAACGGAUGUGAUAAUCAAAGUAAUUGUGCUUCGUCUGAUGCAGCCUAUGAAAGUAGCGAAGAAAAUCACAAUAUAACACCUGAAGAACUGGAGGAUCAACAACGUCAUCGUGACGGUGUUGAUGCUUUACUCUCAUUAUCACUUUCAUCCGUUAUGGAUUCCCCAAGCUCCUGCUCUCCAAUAAAACGUCCAUCAUCAACAACAGUGGAUGAAGAACAUAUUUCCUCAUACAUGGAAAGUGCUAAAAAAUCUCCACCACAACAUCAUCAUGUUGGAAAGAUAGCGCUUAUUAGUAAUGCUACUACUAAUACUUAUAACACCAAUCAACUGCAAACACAUCACCAGAAUAACAAUCACAAUCAGCAGCUUCAACACCAUUUAAUUUUUAAUGAGGGUUACAAUACGCAGUCAUACUUCAGUAAUAACAACAAUAACAACCACAAUCACCACAAUAUACAUCAUUUGUCUACGUCAUUACCACCGAAGAAAUUGAAACCUUUACGUAGUUUGCGGACUAAAAUUAAACGUAAAGCACAAUGGCUGCGGUAAAUGUUCUGCAAAAUCGAAUUCGCAUAUAAGAACAUUUAUCCAUAAAAGAUUUAGGGUUUGUAUGUAACUAAGAAAAAUUAUUCUGAAUUAUAUCUGAAGAAUCAUUACAGGAAAUUUGACAGAGCUGAGUUUUGUAGAGAAGAGAAUGAGACCUCAAAAUACAUGCUAGAGUUUACCGAAGAAGGUACGUAGAAAAUUCUGAUAAAGUCACGUAAGAAGAACCUAUGAAGGGACGUAAGAAGUAUCGAUAAAGGUAUGUAAGAAGCACCGAUAAAGGUACGUAAGAAGAACCAAUGAAGGUACUUAAGUAGUACCGAUAAAGGUACGUAAGAAGAAUCAAUGAAGGUACUUAAGUAGUACCGAUGAAG